rnacentral:rRNA from 1 species
AGAUGAGGCCACGGCCGAUUAGCUAGUUGGUGAGGUAAAGGCUCACCAAGGCGACGAUCAGUAGCCGGCCUGAGAGGGUGUACGGCCACAAUGGAACUGAGACACGGUCCAUACUCCUACGGGAGGCAGCAGGUUAAG